rnacentral:tRNA from 1 species
ACUUUGGUGGUUCAGUGGUAGAAUUCUUGCCUUCUGUGUGGGAGACCCAGGUUUGAAUCCCAGCCGAUGCA